UCCAGCUGUUUUGGGACUACAAUUCCCAUCAUCCCUGACCACUGGUCCUGUUAGCUAGGGAUGAUGGGAGUUGUAGUCCCAAAAGAGCUGGA